rnacentral:rRNA from 1 species
UGCCAGCAGCCGCGGUAAUACGUACUGUGCAAACGUUAUUCGGAAUCACUGGGCUUAAAGGGUGCGUAGGCGGUCGAUUAAGUAGGGUGUGAAAUGCCUCGGCUCAACCGAGGCACUGCGCUCUAAACUGGUCGGCUUGAGUGAGAUAGGGGUGUGUGGAACUUCCAGUGGAGCGGUGAAAUGUGUUGAUAUUGGAAGGAACGCCGGUGGCGAAAGCGACACACUGGGUCUCAACUGACGCUGAGGCACGAAAGCCAGGGUAGCGAACGGGAUUAGAUA